AAAAAUGUUUCAGGUAUAAGGGUAGACAUAUCUGGUGAUAAGAAAUAAAAGGCUCAACAUACACGGCUCAAAUUAGCAAUCUAAUGAUAUCAUUUUUAUUUGGGAAACAUGGUUAUUUGGGCCAUAGUGGUAAACCUAAUGCUUCUAGCAUUUCCAAGUUCAUGCAAUCAAUGACAAACAUUUCGAAAGAUCGUUACGCAAGUUCUAGAGAUGUAUCUCACAUAAGUUCAUCACACAUGAAAGAAUAUGAGUGUAUGAAAAAUGCACACACUUUCAAUCGGCUCAAAAACUCACAUAGGAUGUAUAUGGUCACUAAAUUCACAUAUGAAGCUUUAAGUCAUACUUUAGUUUCACAUUAAAAGGCUAUGUGCAUUUGGUUUUUCAAAGAUGGUCAAACAUGUACAAAAACUAACAAGAGAAUUAGGAAUUUCACAAACACACAUGUUAACUAAGUUCUUGAUGAUCAUGGUUCAAAUUUGAUCCAAUUAUAUCAUUGGUCGGGAAACUAACAAAAAUCUAAUUCAAAACAAUAAGGGAAACAAGACAAUAUUUUUGGAUUUUUAAAUUUUCCGAUUUUUUAAAUUUUUUUUUUAAAAGAAAACAAAACUAAUUAAGAAAACAAAAAGCAACAACACGGAAACAAAUGAAAUUCUAGAGAUGUCUACCCCCACACUUAAACUGGACAUUGUCCCCAAUGUCAGAAAACACUAUAAUGCAAAUAAAUAAAAUAAUAAUAAUCAGAAACAAAAUAAAGCAAUUGGACUGAAAACUUCCCUAGUUUGCAGUAAAACCAAGCGAUGACCCCCAAGCUAAAAUUCUGCAAUCAACUUCAAGGGUGGAAAUAACCAAAAGUUCCUGCAAAAAAAAAAAAAAAAAAAAAAAAAAAGAAUUCAGUUAAGUAACGCAAGAAAAUGUAGAAAAUGCAAACGAAAAAUUGAAAAUGACGAUAAAAGACAAUAAAUAGAACUAAUAAGUGAUCAUUGGUCCGUGCUUGUUGACUUUCCACAGCUUUCCUCUUGAACGGGGUGACACUUAGCUUUUUAUUGCAAGUGAUGAUUUGAUGAUAUGUACGGCGAGGCUUUGCUCUUUAGCGAAGGUGCCCUCCAAAUGUUGUGAAGCUUCCGAGUUCUUGGAUUUAACUCGCACUCCUUUUGCUGAGUUCAUCUCUGCUUGAUUCUUCUAUAUGGCAGGCAGGCAUAAAGUAGCUGUGUUGGUUUGAUUCUUUCUUCAAUCUUUCCAAGUGCCCACCUCUUGCUUUCUUUCUCCUUGUCCCUAGCUGAAGAUGAAUUGGCAAAUUGUCUCCACAUGCUUCGAGGUAUCAUUUUCACUUCCCUUACUUGUCCCCCAAGUAGAUGUGGUAGACAAAACGGAAGCAUAAGAUGAUGAAGAUGAGUACUCGAGAGCAAGGCUAGGUAAGCAAUCAGGAAGGGGUUCUAGACAGUUGGCUCCAGAUCGGAAGAUUUAUACCAAGUGCUGGCUGAUUGCUUGCUUUCUCCUUGUCGUAAAACAAAGACAAGGAGAAGGACAAGGAGAAAGCAUGAUAUGAGAUACUCUUGCUUUCAACCUUCAUGAUAUGAAAUACUUUUGCUUUAGAUGGGUUGUUUGCAGAGGUACCCCAAGGAAUAAGGAACACAGAGUGACUCGAGAGGGUGUGUUGGAAAUACAUU
rnacentral:lncRNA from 1 species